rnacentral:sRNA from 1 species
UCGUAGCCGAUGUUCCACGGCAGGGG